CCUUCCGGAUGCUCGGAUGGGAAAGACGCCAGCAGGGGGCGCCACAGGGCCACGGCUCGGUCGUGCGUGCGCUAAGUCACCCGGCCGUGAGUUCCUGAGGUCGCAGCCGCCCCGCCUUGUUCGGGUUUCCGCGGGGCGUGGACAUUGGGAGGAUUGCUUCCCCUCUGCGAGUCCGCUUGAGUUGAGGACGCGAAGGCGGUCCAGCCGCGCCCCUGUGUAUUCUUAGCUGAGGAUGUCCCCGCCUAGGUAGGGUACGGUUUACGGCCAGUCCUCAACUCUGAAAAUGAGUGCGACUCGGCGUUUAAUAAAGGUAGCCAUGCUGAGCAGGGCUUCGGAGGACAGGCUCGGAAGGGAGUGGGCCGGGGAAGCCACACGCCCAGGAACCCUUGGCUGGGCACAAAAGGAAACUGACCGGGACUCACCUGGGUCACGGCUGCCACCCUGCGGACAGGAAGCUUGGAAGGUCAUGGAAGUCACCUCAACCUUCAUUUGCUAUAGUAUAAUUUGUAUUUCAGCCCCUUCGGCUCUGACUAAGUUAACUCUUUGCUUAGUUGUUAUAAAGUAUAUAUUUUAUUUUAGGUGUAUUUUUGUUUUUACCUGCAUGUCUGCAUCAAGUGCGUGCAGUGCCUGUGGAAGCUGAAAGAGGUCGGACGCAUUGGAACUGGAGUUACAGAUUGUUGUGAGCCACCAAGUGGGUGUUGGAUUUCCAGUUAGCACCAUGGCUCAGUGGGUAGAGAAGCUGAAAAGCCUGGUCAUCUGAGUCUGAUCCCUGGAACCCACAUAAAGCGGAAGGAAGGAAUCCAGUGCACAGAACCGUCCUCUCACUUCCACACGAGUGAUUUUGGCCCCCGCGUGUGCACACACACUGCGUUUACAUACACAACAAUAAGUAAAUCAGCUAUAGUUCUUAGAGACGGCUUAAUAUGUGGUCCAUCUUUGUGAAGGUCCA
rnacentral:sRNA from 1 species